GGGUGCGUGGCGCAAUGGUAGCGUGUUCGGCUUCGAUGCCUACUCGCGUAACCGAAAGGCUGCAGGUUCGAGCCCUGCCGUGCUCA